rnacentral:misc_RNA from 1 species
CAUUUCCUCAAGCACGGCGGCGCGUGAGAUAUUCAAAAACCACGACGCGCCGCUGUCAGGGAGAAUGAUUUACGAAGCAAUGAAAGGGGACCACGGCACAGAAGGCUCCUUAAUCACCUCCCAAUACGGGCCGCACUGGCGGAUGCUACGGCGGCUGGCAACGUCAGAGUUCUUUGUCACCCGCCAGCUGGAAGCCAUGAAACACGUCCGCCGCCGCUGCAUUGACACCAUGAUCCGGCAUGUGGAGGAGGAAACAGAAGUUGGCGAGGGCGGCGCGUGUGGGAACGUGGCGCCGUUGGACGUGGGGAAAUUCAUGUUCACAAUGAGCUUUAAUUUAAUCGGGAAUUUGAUAUUUUCAAAAGAUUUAUUGGAGGCAAAUUCGAAGAGGGGAAAGGAAUUUUAUUACCAUACGAGAAAAGUGAUGGAGAUGGCCGGAAAGCCGAAUGUGGCGGACUUUUUACCGGCGUUACGGUGGGUGGAUCCGCAGGGGAUUAGGAGGAAGACGCAAUUUCAUGUGAAUAAAGCGUUUGAAAUUGCUGGGGAAUUUAUAAAAGAG